UACGUAGGGGGCGAGCGUUGUCCGGAAUUACUGGGCGUAAAGCGUGCGCAGGCGGUGAUGUAAGACAGAUGUGAAAUCCCCGGGCUCAACCUGGGAACUGCAUUUGUGACUGCAUCGCUGGAGUGCGGCAGAGGGGGAUGGAAUUCCGCGUGUAGCAGUGAAAUGCGUAGAUAUGCGGAGGAACACCGAUGGCGAAGGCAAUCCCCUGGGCCUGCACUGACGCUCAUGCACGAAAGCGUGGGGAGCAAACAGG
rnacentral:rRNA from 1 species